CCUUGGUCUUGUAAACCAAAAAUGGAGAGUAACCGCCCUCCCUAAGACU
rnacentral:tRNA from 1 species